AGUAGUAGUAGUAUUCGAGAAAGAGUAGAUAAUAAUCGAUUUUUAAAAAUCAAUUGAUUUAAGAACUUUUGACCUAUCCUAUAUUUUUAAAAAGAAGAUCUAUGAUCGACCCCCAACAUCGAAUCCUUCCAUGUCUCUGAAAAUUCUAACAAGACCAGACUAGGGCAAAGCUCGUUAAGGUUGUUCGAAAUGGAUUUACAAUGUAUGCUUUAUUGGUCUGGAGGAUGCUGGAUAAUGGACCUUCUCAGGGGUCUUUGGUAGGAGACGAUUAGGACGAGAACUUUUUGGGAGCAGCCACUCCCACGCUAAGGAACGAAUACCUGCCAAACGACACCACUGUCGUCGUUCGGUCCUUUCCUCGCUUCAGAGUGCAGUAAAGAAAAAGAAAGUAAGAAAGAAAGAAAGAGAGAAAGAACGAAAGAAAAAAAAAGAGGAAGGAAGAAAAAGAAGAAAAAAAGAGGAAAAAAAGAAAGAGAGAGAGAGAGAGCGUGAGAGAGAGAGAGAGAGAGAGGGAGAGAGGCAGUGCAAAACAGGCGACCGAACGGAGAAUAAACGAGAAUGCGAGUGGUCCUUUGACGGAGAAUCUACGUGUUCGUUGUCUUCCGAAAACUCUUCGUUCGUGCUGGACCAUGUUCGAACGUCUCGAGUUUAUUUAGGAAAAGGAAGAAAGAGAAGAAAAAGAAGAAAAAAUAAAAAGAAUAAGAAAAAUAUCAAUUUGAUCGAAAAAUAUUGAAAUGAAGAUAUCCUCUUGGUACGGGAAUAUUAAAUAGCACCUGACAAGUGCAAAAGGUUAAAUUCGAUUUUCUUGGUUCAACGAACAAUUCUAUUGUCUCGUCUUGUCAGAAUGAAUGAGGAACACAACACGGAAGAAGAAGAGGAAGAAGGAGAGGAAAA